GGGAAUCUGUCAAGCGCCCCAGUGAAUCGUCAAACUGUGCGGAUUCGUCCAGGAGGAAGCAGAUCAGCCCAAACAAUGAGAAGCACGUCAUGAGUGAGACCCUAGCAGUCUGUUCAGAGCCUCACAGAGAGGAAUUGGAGGAGGAUAAUC